rnacentral:lncRNA from 1 species
GAGUUAAAUCCAGCUGGCGACCGGUCAUGAGUGGCGUUCCCCAGGAGUCAGUGCUGGGGCCUGUCCUCUUUAAUAUCUUUAUUGAUGACCUGGAUGAGGGUAUUGAGUUGCACCCUCAGUAAGUUUGCAGAUGACACCAAGCUAGCUGGAAGUGUUGAUCUGCCUGAGGGUAGCGAGGCCUUACAGAGGGAUCUGGAUAGGUUGGAUAGCUGGGCUGAAGCCAAUGGGAUGGGAUUCAACAAGACCAAAUGCCGGGUCCUGCACUUUGGCCACAAUAACCCCAGGCAACGCUACAGGCUUGGGGCAGAGUGGCUGGAAGACUGUGUAGAGGAAAUGGACCUGGGGGUGUUGAUUGACGCUAGACUGAACAUGAGCCAGCAGUGUGCCCAGGUGGCCAAGAAGGCCAAUGGCAUCCUGGCUUGUAUCAGAAAUAGCGUGGCCAGCACGAACAGGGAAGUAAUUAUUCCCCUGUACUCAGCACUGGUGAGGCCGCACCUUGAGUACUGUGUCCAGUUUUGGGCCCCUCACUGUAAGAAAGACAUCGAGGCCCUGGAGUGUGUCCAGAGGAGGGCAACAAAGCUGGUGAGGGGUCUGGAGCACAGGCCUUAUGAAGAGCGGCUGAAGGAGCUGGGGUUGUCCAGUCUAGAGAAGAGGAGGCUCAGAGGAGACCUUAUUGCUCUCUAUAGCUACCUGAAGGGAGGUUGUGGUGAGCUGGGGGUCAGCCUCUUCUCCUGGGUGACUAGUGAUAGGACGAGAGGAAAUAGCUUCAAUCUGUGUCAGGGAAGAUUCAGGCUGGACAUUAGGAAAUACUACUUCUCUGAAAGGGUGGUCAGGCACUGGAAUGGGCUGCCCAGAGAGGUGGUGGAGUCACCGAUCCUGGUGGUGUUCAAAGAGCUUUUGGAUGUUGUGUUGAGGGACAUGGUUUAGUGAGAACCAUUGGUGAUGGGCGAAUGGUUAGAUGGGAUGAUCCUGUGGGUCUUUUCCAACCUUAGCGAUUCUAUGAUUCUAUGACAAAAAUUCUGUUUAUGAUAAUAAUCACACAAAUUUUGGU